GACGAACGCUGGCGGCGUGCCUAAUACAUGCAAGUCGAACGCAGUGGGGACGGGUGAGUAACACGUGGGUAACCUCCCAUCAGAGGGGAUAACACUUGGAAACAGGUGCUAAACCGAUACUGAUGGAUGGACCCGCGGGGCAUUAGCUAGUUGGUGGGGUAACGGCCCACCAAGGCCACGAUGCAUAACCGGUCGGAGAGGGUGAUCGGCCACACUGGAACUGAGACACGGCCCAGACUCCUACGGGAGGCAGCAGUGGGGAAUAUUGGGCAAUGGACGAAAGCCGGACGCAGCAAUGCCGCGUGGGUGAAGAAGGUUUUCGGAUCGUAAAACUCUUUUGUUAGAGAAGCGUUAUCUAACCAGAAAGCAACGGCUAACUACGUGCCAGCAGCCGCGGUAAUAC
rnacentral:rRNA from 1 species